CCACCUGGUGUCUUCCGCCGGCCUCUGGCUCUGGCCUGGAGGGCCUUGGGCUGUCACCCGAGGUCGUCGUGGUUUUCCAGCCAGUGGAUUCUGGUCUAGUGAUGGAGAUUGGCUGACACCCCGGAGAAGCUGAAACCAGAGAGCCUUUUGUUUUCCCUUUUUUCUGUCUACACUCUGUCCUCACUUACACUACGUUUCCGCUAUGGUCUGUGGUUGAUGACCUCCAUAAGUUUUGAUUGUUAAAUGCUUUUGUUUGGGGAAGUAACUUUUGUUCGGAAAUGCUCUCACGUACCGGAAUUAGGGCCUAGAUUGUAAGCUCUUGCGGCAGUCACAUUUGUUUAUGGGCUUUGGUUAUUAUUUCUAAAUUUUUGAGAUGCUUUGCUCUUUCUUGUGUGACGUGAUAGCUCCCUGGAACUUUGGGUCUGUGACAUGUGAGACUCGGAAUUGGAGUUCUGCAGCUCUGGAGGUGCUGAAACAGCUGCGUUCCUUCUGGAAGAUGACUCUGCCGCAGCUGCUGAAGAGGGGACCAGAUUUCAACUGGGGACGCCGAUGAGCCUGAUCUGGCAGGGACUGAUGGACCAGAAGGAGGAGGAGGGGAUGAUAUUGUUUGUACUGGGAGACUUUUAAUUUCUGUGUGAGACCAAAGGAGGAGAGACAUAUUUUGUUCAAAAUUUAAAUUCUGUGUGAUGCACCCUCUGAUGUAACCUGUCUGGUGCGUUUGGUCACUUAACUCAGCCCUAUGUCCACUGCACUUAGAAGAGGGGAUGAGAUCUUGAUGUUCUGUAGAGUUGGUGUAACAAGGGUUAUGGGUGUAAAACAAAAGCUAUUGGCAAAGGCUCUUGAGGAGCUGUGAAGAAAGGUGUGGAACUGUCUAUAUUGGAUCUUAAUUGGUCAGUGAAUAGGCAUCUUCAAAGUUCCAAUGUUGUCCAGCUGCAAGUUUAUAUGAGUAGCAGACCUAAUGAGUAUUUGAGGUCAAAACCCUGCCAUGUUUAAAAAAAGAAAAAGAAAAAAAAAACCACUUAACCAUGUUAAUAAACUUAAUCAUUUGCUUGAAAAGA